GGGAGACUGGAAUUCCUGGUGUAGCGGUGGAAUGCGCAGAUAUCAGGAGGAACACCGAUGGCGAAGGCAGGUCUCUGGGCUGUUACUGACGCUGAGGAGCGAAAGCAUGGGGAGCGAACAGGAUUAGAUACCCUGGUAGUCCAUGCCGUAAACGUUGGGCACUAGGUGUGGGGGACAUUCCACGUUUUCCGCGCCGUAGCUAACGCAUUAAGUGCCCCGCCUGGGGAGUACGGCCGCAAGGCUAAAACUCAAAGGAAUUGACGGGGGCCCGCACAAGCGGCGGAGCAUGCGGAUUAAUUCGAUGCAACGCGAAGAACCUUACCAAGGCUUGACAUAUACCGGAUCGUUCCAGAGAUGGUUCUUCCCCUUUGGGGUCGGUAUACAGGUGGUGCAUGGUUGUCGUCAGCUCGUGUCGUGAGAUGUUGGGUUAAGUCCCGCAACGAGCGCAACCCUCGUUCCAUGUUGCCAGCACGUGAUGGUGGGGACUCAUGGGAGACUGCCGGGGUCAACUCGGAGGAAGGUGGGGAUGACGUCAAAUCAUCAUGCCCCUUAUGUCUUGGGCUUCACGCAUGCUACAAUGGCCGGUACAAAGGGUUGCGAUACUGUGAGGUGGAGCUAAUCCCAAAAAGCCGGUCUCAGUUCGGAUUGAGGUCUGCAACUCGACCUCAUGAAGUCGGAGUCGCUAGUAAUCGCAGAUCAGCAACGCUGCGGUGAAUACGUUCCCGGGCCUUGUACACACCGCCCGUCAAGUCACGAAAGUCGGUAACACCCGAAGCCGGUGGCCCAACCCUUGUGGAGGGAGCCGUCGAAGGUGGGACUGGCGAUUGGGACUAAGUCGU
rnacentral:rRNA from 1 species